GAAAUGCGAUAUGUAGUGUGAAUUGCAGAAUUCAGUGAAUCAUCGAAUCUUUGAACGCACAUUGCGCUCUCUGGUAUUCCGGGGAGCAUGCUCGUUUCAGAAUCAUUUCAAUUCUCAAACGUCCAGUUCGGUCUCUUCGGAGAUGGAACGGGAUGGUUUGGAUGUGGGCCACAUUUGCUUCGCGGCAGUGGCCCGAAAUUGAUUUGUGUUUGCAACCAUCCUCAUGGACUGGUUCUCUCAAGUGCAACAGAUGUUUACAACAUUCGUUAUCUCUUGUGGAGGGUCUUUCUGGAGUUUGGACGGCGUGACACUCAACCAACGAAACGUUCAAAGGCCCGUCUGGGUCUUUGUCUGAUAACUUGGUCUGAAAUCGAGCAAGAAAACCCGCUGAACUUAA
rnacentral:misc_RNA from 1 species